GGCUCGGUGGCGGGGGUCCGCAUCUGCUUCAAAUUCGCGUUUUGUAUAUCUUCCAGAAUGCAGAGCACGCCUGUUCGACUCAGGUCCGAGCCA